UACGUAGGGUGCAAGCGUUAUCCGGAAUGAUUGGGCGUAAAGCGUCCGCAGGUGGCAGUUCAAGGCUGCUGUCAAAGACCGGGGCUUAACUUCGGAAAGGCAGUGGAAACUGAACAGCUAGAGUAUGGUAGGGGCAGAGGGAAUUCCUGGUGUAGCGGUGAAAUGCGUAGAGAUCAGGAAGAACAUCGGUGGCGAAGGCGCUCUGCUGGACCAUAACUGACACUCAGGGACGAAAGCUAGGGGAGCGAACGGG
rnacentral:rRNA from 1 species